rnacentral:rRNA from 1 species
UACGAAGGGGGCUAGCGUUGUUCGGAAUUACUGGGCGUAAAGCGCACGUAGGCGGCUCAGCAAGUCAGGGGUGAAAUCCCGGGGCUCAACCCCGGAACUGCCCUUGAAACUGCUAAGCUAGAAUCUUGGAGAGGCGAGUGGAAUUCCGAGUGUAGAGGUGAAAUUCGUAGAUAUUCGGAAGAACACCGGUGGCGAAAGCGCUCUACUGGGCCUGCACUGACACUGAGGGACGAAAGCUAGGGGAGCGAAAGGG